CUCCUCCUCCUAAUUCUCUAACAUCCCCCUUUUCCCACCUUUCUCCAACCUCCCCCACCUCUCUCUUGGACUGCCAGAUUAGGAGGACUCCAGUGAAGUUGGUUUGACCUCUCUGCUCGCUGAUCAUCCCAGAGGUUUGCACUGAAUUCAUUCAGCAGGAUUACUGAGAGGACGCAGCAGAACAAGAGGCCGAAGUUGGGUCUCUGCAGCCGAAGAUUUCCUCCAGCACUGCAAGCAAAAUGGAUUAGAGCAAGAGAGAUUUUCCUGGGCUCUACCCAGAAAGCGGAGAUGAAGGUGAACCGAUAGAGAAGUCCAGGACCUGCUUUACAGCCGGGACAACAGAUACCCCAGAAUUUGGGUCCACAUCAUCCAUGUCAAGGACUCUUGUUACACCAACAGAAGGCAACUAAAAAGCCAUAAGGAGAGAAAAGAUGAAAUAUGAAGCAGCUGUGCAGAAGACACAGAAAAGAAAGCAUUCAUCGAUGGUGGCCUCCAGAUUAGAAUUCCUUCUGCAGGGAGGACAAUAAAAGCAAAGCGAACAACAUUCCAAUAUGCAUUGAGAAGAAAGAUGAGGAUUUGACAGAGGAGCUCAGAGAAAUUAAGCUGUUAGCUAAUGAACUCAUGCAUUCAUGGUGAAUAGGAAAAGACAGUGCCUGAGGCUUCUGACUUAAGUGUCCAACAAUAAUCAGCCAGUAUUGAUGGAUUCCAGUUGCCCUGAUACCGUUGCUCCAUGACUGCAAUAUCCCGGUGAAACCUUUCACCAUGAUCAUCACUGACAGCGCCAACAUUUGCAGGGAAGAAGUCUACAUGGGAAUGCAGAAAAUGAAUCUUUAGUGACACGUUGCUUUUCAUGGUUUCGUAUGCUUGAAGCAUGUUGUCAACCAGCUGCAUUAAGUUCAGUGCUCUGAAGUUGUCAAGAAAACUUUCAACAACAUCUUUGAAUGCUGUCCAUUUGUUUUCUCCAGUCCCACCAGAGGUACUUCACGUUGCCUGUCAUUGAUAACCUGUUUGAUUUGUGGAUCAACAAAAACACCUUCCUUAAUCUUGGCAUCAGUUAAUCUGGGAAACAUCUGUCUCAAAUAUUGAAAUCCUUCAUGGAAAUGUAUUGCCUUUCUAAAACCUGUCCUGCCAUGCAGCAUCCACCCUGCCUGAGCAAGAUAGAAAACAUUUCAGCUUAUAUGGUGAGCAACAUUUUAACUAACUUGAAUUGUGUAUUGAAAUAACAAAUAUAGGCGAUUUUUAAAAAUGGUGCAUGAUACGGAAAUUUCAUGGUGAUUUUCAUGAUCAGCAGUCCAAAAUCCAGAAGAUGCAUCUAAAAGUAUUCAGGAAGCAAACUCUUUGAUUUCCAGUACUACCACCCUCUGCUUCAUAACUCCAAGCCAAUUUAAGAGAGUAGUGUUGUCCCAGCAGCCUGACCCGAUCAGCACCCCUCCCAGAACAAACUCUAGUCAUCUACACUGUAUGUCACCGUCAAACUUUGUCUUUACAACAAAACCAAGUGGGCACAGCAGAAGACUGUGAACAUUGUAAGGUCAUUUGUUCUUGAAGUACUGUGAUACCUAUUAAAGCAUGACUUUUUUAAUCAACAGGAUUAUAUUUUAAUAUUUUUUGAAACCCCAGGAUGAAACACAGCUAGUGGCCAAAAGCUUUUGACAAGACUAAAUGGCUUCUUUGUACCUGUUCCUAUUUUGUGGGGUGGCACGGGCAGCGUAGUAGUUAGCACAAUGCUUUACAGUGCAGGUACACUGGGUUCAUUUCCCGCUGCUGCCUGUAAGGAGUUUGUACAUUCUCCCCGUGACUGUGUGUGUUUCCCCCCACAUUCCGAAGCUGUACUGGUUGAUAGGCUAACUGGUCAUUGUAAAAUACCCUGUAAGUAGGCUGGGAUCAAAUUGGGGGAUUGCUGGAUGGCACAGCUCGAAGGGCCUAAUCUGUGCUGUAUCUCAAUAAAUAAAUAGAUUUGUACAACAAAAUUCCAUUACCACAGAAGAGACGUGAAAAGUCCUGAUGAAGGAUCUCAGUCCAAAACAUUGGCUCUUUAUUCCUUUAUUCCUCCGUGAUGCCAUCUGACCUGCUAAGCCCCUCCAG